rnacentral:snRNA from 1 species
AUCGCUUCUUGGCCUUUUGGCUAAGAUCAAGUGCAGUAUCUGUUCUUAUCAGUUUAAAAAUGCAGAUUGAUCUCCCAGCGGUAGGCAUAUUUCUAUCCUUAUAUUUCACCCACAGAUAUUCUUUUUGUUUUGCAAGUGAUCUGUGUUCUUCCACUACUGUGGGCUUUCUGU